AUCCUUUUGUAGUUGAUAAGCAUGAUGAUAGGGUUUCAUAUAAUUGUAGGAGAUGUGGCCACCCAUAAACCUUGUCAGCACUUGACCAGUCUGAUG
rnacentral:snoRNA from 1 species